GGUCUAAUAGUUUAGUGGUUAUAAUGUUUUGUCUAUAUUAUUCAAAGAAGGUCUUUAGUUCAAUUCUUAGUGCUAUCA